rnacentral:lncRNA from 1 species
UAGCUGUCCCAAUUGUAUUUAGCAUACACGUUACAAACUCUUGGAUGUGAUCAAAUAUAGUUAUUUGAAUAAAAACAUUAUUUCGUAUAUUCAUCAUUCCUAAUACCAAAUACUCAAGUUAAUUCUUGGUAGCCUCAUUUGUGACUCUCUCCAUGCUUAGUAUUAAGAUUUUGGAAUGAAUAAUGUUUGAAAGAGUGCUGACUUUAGUUAUUCUAUAUAAACCCCC